rnacentral:rRNA from 1 species
UCGAGCGCCCCGCAAGGGGAGCGGCAGACGGGUGAGUAACGCGUGGGAGCGUACCCUCCGGUUCGGAAUAACUCAGGGAAACUUGAGCUAAUGCCGGAUACGGCUGAGAGGCGAAAGAUUUAUCGCCGGGGGAUCGGCCCGCGUCCGAUUAGCUAGUUGGUGUGGUAACGGCGCACCAAGGCGACGAUCGGUAGCUGGUCUGAGAGGAUGAUCAGCCACAUUGGGACUGAGACACGGCCCAAACUCCUACGGGAGGCAGCAGUGGGGAAUAUUGGACAAUGGGCGCAAGCCUGAUCCAGCCAUGCCGCGUGAGUGAUGACGGCCUUAGGGUUGUAAAGCUCUUUCGCCAGGGACGAUAAUGACGGUACCUGGAUAAGAAGCCCCGGCUAACUUCGUGCCAGCAGCCGCGGUAAUACGAAGGGGGCUAGCGUUGUUCGGAAUUACUGGGCGUAAAGCGCGUGUAGGCGGGUCUUUAAGUCAGGGGUGAAAUGCCAAGGCUCAACCUUGGAACUGCCUUUGAUACUGGAGAUCUUGAGUCCGGGAGAGGUGAGUGGAACUGCGAGUGUAGAGGUGAAAUUCGUAGAUAUUCGCAAGAACACCAGUGGCGAAGGCGGCUCACUGGCCCGGAACUGACGCUGAGACGCGAAAGCGUGGGGAGCAAACAGGAUUAGAUACCCUGGUAGUCCACGCUGUAAACGAUGGAUGCUAGCAGUUGGGGAGCUUGCUCUUCAGUGGCGCCGCUAACGCAUUAAGCAUCCCGCCUGGGGAGUACGGUCGCAAGAUUAA